rnacentral:rRNA from 1 species
CUGCAACUCGCCUGCAUGAAGUCGGAAUUGCUAGUAAUCGUGGAUCAGCAUGCCACGGUGAAUACGUUCCCGGGCCUUGUACACACCGCCCGUCACACCAUGGGAGUCGGUAACACCCGAAGCCUGUAGUCUAACCGCAAGGAGGACGCAGUCGAAGGUGGGAUUGAUGACUGGGGUGAAGUCGUAACAAGGUAAC